ensembl:lncRNA
GGAUUCUAAUGUUGAUACAGGCUAUGGUCAACCUGUUGAUGGAUUCUAAUGUUGAUACAGACUAUGGUCAACCUGUUGAUGGAUUCUAAUGUUGAUACAGGCUAUGGUCAACCUGCUGAUGGAUUCUAAUGUUGAUACAAGCUAUGGUCAACCUGCUGAUGGUGCCUGAACAGCAUAUCUGUGUCUGUCUGCUAAGCCUUUUUAAAGUCGUCUUUAUGGAGACAUUCUAUAGUGUUGUUAUGUAGUCUGUAGUCCCAGCCACGUCAGCACUUUACAGCAGGUAGAGACCCUGGAGUUCAACAUCAAUGACUUUAUAGCAUGUAGAGACCCUGGAGCUCAACAUCAAUGACUUUAUAGCGGGUAGAAACCCUGGAGUUGAACAUCAAUGACUUUAUAGCAGGUAGAGACCCUGGAGUUGAACAUCAAUGACUUUAUAGCAGGUAGAAACCCUGGAGCUCAACAUCAAUGACUUUAUAGCGGGUAGAAACCCUGGAGUUGAACAUCAAUGACUUUAUAGCAGGUAGAGACCCUGGAGUUGAACAUCAAUGACUUUAUAGCAGGUAGAAACCCUGGAGUUGAACAUCAAGGACUUUAUAGCAGGUAGAGACCCUGGAGUUGAACAUCAAUGACUUUAUAGCAGGUAGAGACCCUGGAGUUGAACAUCAAACACUGAUUGAACAGAAAACCACCGACAGAUCAUGUCUUGUCUGUCUGCAGCAGUAGUCACAAGAGGACUGUCAUUAAAUGUUUGUUUUUUUGUUGAUACUAUUAGAAGUGAUAGACCUGUAAUGAUGGCCACACAAUACAGAAUACCCAGCACAGAAAUAGCACAGGAUCUAAAGUGCAGGCACAAACAUAGAAGCCCUCUCGAUUGUGGAUCACAGCCACAGGAUGCUAGAGACUGCUUGUGGAUCACAGCCAUAGGAUGCUAGGGACUGCUUGUGGCUCACAGCCACAGGAUGCUAGGGACUGCUUGUGGAUCACAGCCACAGGAUGCUAGGGACUGCUUGCAGAUCACAGCCACGGGUAAAUUAUGGAUUACCAAUUAGAGAGCUAGAAUCACUUGAACUAUUAUUGAUGGAGGGAGAGGGAGAGGGAGAAGGGGGGGAGAGAGAGAGAGAGAGAGAGAGAGAGAAAAUAGUAACCAUCAUACAGUACUCAAAUCAAAUGACAUUUGAUUAGUCACAUGCACCUAAUACAACAGGUGUAGACCUUACAGGGAAAUGCUUACUUAUGAGCCCCUAAUCAACAAUGCAGUUAAAUAAAAACAGAAUAAGAAAUAAAAGUAAUAAGCAAUUAAAGAGCAGCAGUAAAUUAACAAUAGCGAGACUAUAUACAGGGGAUACCGGUAUAGAGUCAAUGUGGAGGCUAUAUACAGGGGGGGUACCGGUACAGAGUCAAUGUGGAGGUUAUAUACAGGGGGUACCGGUACAGAGUCAAUGUGGAGGCUAUAUACAGGGGGGUACCAGUACAGAGUCAAUGUGGAGGUUAUAUACAGGGGGUACUGGUACAGAGUCAAUGUGGAGGCUAUAUACAGGGGGUACCGGUACAGAGUCAAUGUGGAGGUUAUAUACAGGGGGUACAGGUACAGAGUCAAUGUGGAGGCUAUAUACAGGGGGUACCGGUACAGAGUCAAUGUGGAGACUAUAUAUAGGGGGUACCGGUACAGAGUCAAUGUGUGGGGGUAGAGUUAUUAAAGUGACUAUGCAUAGGUGACAACAACAGAGAGUAGCAGCGUUGUAAAGGAGAGGGGAGGAGGGCAAAGCAAAUGGCUAGCCAUUUGAUUAGAUGUUCAGGAGUCUUAUGGCUUCGGGGUAGAAGCUGUUUAGAAGCCUCUUGGACUCCAACUUUAAUGUCACCCAGGCAGCUUCUGCCAAAGUGUGGUCUCUGUGUGGUCUGACACUCCCCAGGGGGAUCUGGCUGUCUGGUCUGACACUACCCAGGGGGAGCUGUCUGUCUGGUCUGACACUCCCCAGGGGGAGCUGGCUGUCUGGUUUGACACUUCCCAGGAGGAGAGAGACAAGAAGGUGUUUAUGCACAAGGGCCCGAUUCCGACGUAGGAAUUCAUUCCUUUCCUACACACUUCUCAGUAGUUGGUAUUCAGACUUACCUUAUGCAGAUGCAUAACUGGCUUUGCAGGCUCCCUUGUGAGCGUUAAAUAAAUGUAAUUCAACCACUUACAAACCCUCUCACUCGCUGGCCAACAGAUUUUCUUGUGGAGUAUUCAAUCAAAAGAGUUUUCAGGACAUUUAUCUUAAGCCAUCCCUUUACAGUGUACCUUUAAUUAGAAUAAUUAGAAUUGAAUUAGAAUACAUGAAUAUGGUCGACAGACUAGAAUACAUAGAGAGACAGGUUCAGAAUAUUAGGGAUCAAUUUUAAAAAAGCCAUCUAAAUAUCUGUAUAUUUGUCUCGGUUUCAACACCAAGUGGUAGAUACAUUUUUUUUUUAAAUACUCUCAUUAAGGCACAAUUUUAGGAUUAUAUAUUAAUGUAUUUUUUUUUUUAAACAGGUUUGGAGAUCUCUAAGCACCUAAUAUAUUGAUAAAUCAAAAAUACAGUGGUUUGAUUCAUUCUGAAAAUGUGUCACAUUCAGUUCUACAACCCAUGAUAAUGUUGGAAGAUUAGUGUACAUAAAAUUAUAAUAGGGACAAUAGUGUACAAUAGUAGGCUAUAUCCUCCUCUAUUUCCUGCACUAGCCAUAGAACUGUGUGAUGUCACAGCCAAGUAUUGCACUGUGUCAGGGUCAAAUUUCUCCAUAACAUUUAAAUUAGCCUACAUGUCUUCUUAUAUAUUACUAUAUAUAUAUUAUAUAUUACUAUAUUAUAUAUUACUAAUGAUACUCAGCAACAACGCCGUGGUCAUGAAGGAGUUUACAGAGGACAAAAAUGAAGGUAAAUAAAACAAUUGGGGCGGCAGGGUAACCUAGUGGUUAGAGCGUUGGACUAGUAACUGGAAGGUUGCAAGUUCAAAUCCCUGAGUUGACAAGGUACAAAUCUGUCAUUCUGCCCCUGAGCAGGCAGUUAAACCCACUGUUCCUAGGCUGUCAUUGAUUAUAAGAAUUUGUUCUUAACUGACUUGCCAAUUAAAUGGAAUGAUAAUAUAGGCUACACCAACUGUUUAAAUUGUAAUAUGUGUGGUUAUUAGGUCUACUGACGGUCAAUAGUGGUGUUUGACAUGACAGAGAAAGUCAAGGUAGCCUGUAAUUACAAUGUUUCAGAGUGCUCAUACCUGCAAGAUGUACAAUUCCAAACCUGCACAAACUUUAUUUAACUAGGGAAGUCAAGAACAAAUCCAUAUUUUCAAUGACAGCCUACCUGGGAAGAGUAGGUUAACUGCCUUGUUCAGGGGUAGAACUACAGAUUUUUUCACCCUUGUCAGCUCAGGGAUUCAAUCUUGCAACCUUCUGGUUACUAAUCCUACGCUGUAACCACUAGGCUACCCUGCCGCCCCAACAGACCUGCCAUAUGACUGGUUUCGCAUUUGUCUCCAGCGAUCAUAUGGUUCAAUAGCUCUAAAACAAGCCUCAUUUAUAUUUACAUUUCCCUUAUCCAAAACGGAUUACUCAAAUACCUAACUCUUGUCAAUAGCGCUUAUUAAAUUGGUGUUAUUUCAAUCUGAAAAAAAGACAAAUAAAUGAGAUACCUUUUCCUCACCUUUUAUUAAUGGUUUCCUUGCACAUAAAGGUGGUAGAAUUACUUUGGGAAUGAAGUCAGAAUACCAUCUAUCUGUAGGCACACCAUCAAUCUCCACCCUAAACGAGUAGUGUGUGAAUAGCACCAAUGUGAAUCGAAAUAGGGGCCAGGGCUUUUACUCGACAAUUUGCCUAAGAGAACGUUCAAUUCCCUAAAUCACUUAUUGAGGUGAUGUAAUGUCAACUCCAGAUGGCCUGUAUGUAUUAUCAUCACUGUCUCAUUACUGCCUUGUACAAGUACAAUAAAUGAAACAUGUGUAGACUAACUCGAUUUCUCUCAACAUGACAGUGAUAGUGUAUUCAUUUACUUAAUAGUGAUAAUAUGCUUUAUUCUGUGAUUUGAUCAAUAACUUAUCUACAGUACUUACAAGGGGAAGCCCAGGAAUGUAUCAUUUGAUGUUAGAAGAUUCCUCACCCUGAAAUGAGUCCUUAUGCCCCAUUCACUUCCAUUGAGUGUUAUAGCUAGUAGUAGCUGUAGUUAGCUGCAGUUUGUAUUAGCUGUUUGGAGAAAACAGUUUCUCCUGGCCCAUAGACGGCUUUCAGGGUGAGAAACCAUGGAACAUCAAGUUGUAGAAUUCUGAACCUACCCCUUUUAUUCUGUAUAUUUACUCUGUAGGCAUUGAUGUACAUUCUGUCCCUUCACAAUGAAGUUAUCUAUAGUGUAAGUGACCAGGAGAAUACUUGAGCUGUAUAUAAUAAUUGUAUAUUUUGAGAUAUUUCAGAUUUUUGUACGUAAUGUACCCUUAUUGUGUCUGUAGAUUUAUGAUGUAAAAAAUAUUAGUGUGAAAUUGUUGUUUUCAAUCCAAAUAACUGGAGAGAUUGUACUUUGGCGUGUGUCUGUGUGCUCUUGUGUGUGAGUGAGUAUGUGGUGUGCUUACGUGUAUGUGUGUGUGUAAGUCUGGUGUGAGUGAGUGUGUGAUUCUGUGUUCAUGUAGAUGUCAUUGUUCAAACUGGUUGUGUGUUUCUUGAUUUCCACCUUCAGUGUUGUGUGAGCUUUACUGACUGUAAUCAAGUAGAUAUGACUCACUUGUAAUGACUUGGGACCACUGACUUCUUUAAGCAAUCUGUACGUGUUCUGUGUCUCUUCAGCUGCUCUACGGGACAACUCUCUGUUCUCCACACAAAUUACAACUUGAACAUGGAAUAAAAUAGUGUGAGAAUUCAGGAGCGUCAAUACUAGUAACAACCAAUGUUUUUUUGUCUUAGACAAAAACAUUGAGGGAAAAUGAAAUAAAAGUUAGCACUUUUAUGAACCACGUUA